AAUGGCAAAUGAUGAAAAAAUUCUUAUCCUACACACUGAAUUUACUUACUGUGUGGACCACUAACUCCGCUUAUUAUCUGAUGCCAAU